UUUUGGCCAAUUUCUUUCAUUUGGGAUGGGAAUAUUUACCCAAUGCCUGUACUCCCAUUAUAUCUUGAAACCAAAUAACUUGCUUUUGAUUUUACAGGCUCAUUGGGAGAAGGGAUUUUCCUUGUCUCGGAUUAGACUUUGGACUUGGACUUUUGGGUUAAUGCUGGAAUGAGUUUAGGCUUUAGGAGACUAUUGGGAAGGUAUGAUUGUGUUUUGAAAUGUGAGAAGGACAUGGGAUUUGGGAGGAGCCAGGGACUGAUCCAUAUAGUUUGGCUCUGUGUCCCAUCCCAAAUCUCAUCACGAAUUUUAAUCUCCAAUGUUGAGGGAGGGCCAUGGUGGGAAAUGAUUGAGUCGUAGGGGCAGUUUCCCCUAUGCUGUUCUUGGCUUAGUAAGUGAGUUCUCAUGAGAUCUGAUGUUUAAAAAGUGUGGCACUUCCCCUCUCCCUCUCGUCACCAUGUAAGACGUGCCUUGCUUCCCCUUCGUCUUCUACCAUGAUUGAAAGUUACCUGAGGCCUUCCCAACCAUGUGGAACUCCCCUCAAAUCUGGAAUGCUGCCAUAACAAGAACCUAAAGCAUUUGCUGUUGGCUUUGUGACUAUGCAGCAGGAGAAAGCUGGGAAGACAAUAAAUAGACUAUUGAUGGAAACUGAAAGAACUGUAAAGAACUCAUAAGCAUAAAACAUAAAAUAACAAGUUGAUCUUCAGAAGACUACAUACAACACAUCUUUGCUCAGCAUGUUCUUUGGGAGAGAAAUAGUAAUGGAAUAAGAAUUGCACAGUUAAAAUAAAGAAGAAGACAACUUGGGUGAGGGUAUUAGGAAUGGGCCUGGAAUAGUUGAGC
rnacentral:lncRNA from 10 species